AUCAUUUGUAUUGCAUCCUGAGCUCUUUAGUGAUUACCCGCUGAACUUNAACAUAUCAUU
rnacentral:rRNA from 1 species